rnacentral:rRNA from 1 species
GACGAACGCUGGCGGCGUGCUUAGCACAUGCAAGUCGAACGGUGACCUCGAGAGCUUGCUCUCGGGCGAUCAGUGGCGAACGGGUGAGUAACACGUGAGUAACCUGCUCCAGACUCUGGAAUAACCCCGGGAAACCGGAGCUAAUACCGGAUACGAGACGGAGUCGCAUGGCUACCGUCUGGAAAGUUUUUCGGUCUGGGAUGGACUCGCGGCCUAUCAGCUAGUUGGGGAGGUAACGGCUCACCAAGGCGACGACGGGUAGCCGGCCUGAGAGGGCGACCGGCCACACUGGGCCUGAGACACGGCCCAGACUCCUACGGGAGGCAGCAGUGGGGAAUAUUGCACAAUGGGCGAAAGCCUGAUGCAGCGACGCCGCGUGAGGGAUGACGGCCUUCGGGUUGUAAACCUCUUUCAGCAGGGAAGAAGCGAAAGUGACGGUACCUGCAGAAGAAGCACCGGCUAACUACGUGCCAGCCGCCGCGGUAACAC